CCUACGGGAGGCAGCAGUGGGGAAUAUUGCACAAUGGGGGGAACCCUGAUGCAGCGACGCCGCGUGAGUGAAGAAGUAUUUCGGUACGUAACGCUCUAUCAGCAGGGAAGAAAAAAGGACGGUACCUGAGUAAGAAGCCCCGGCUAACUACGUGCCAGCAGCCGCGGUAAUACGUAGGUGGCAAGCGUUAUCCGGAAUGAUUGGGCGUAAAGGGUGCGUAGGCGGCAAAAUAAGUCUGAAGUAAAAGGCGUUGGCUCAACCAACGUAAGCUUUGGAAACUGUUAAGCUAGCGUGCAGGAGAGGUUAGUGGAAUUCCAUGUGUAGCGGUAAAAUGCGUAGAUAUAUGGAGGAACACCAGUGGCGAAGGCGGCUAACUGGCCUGUAACGGACGCUGAGGCACGAAAGCGUGGGGAGCAAACAGGAUUAGAUACCCGAGUAGUC
rnacentral:rRNA from 1 species